rnacentral:rRNA from 1 species
UACGGAGGAUCCAAGCGUUAUCCGGAUUCACUGGGUUUAAAGGGUGCGUAGGUGGAAUGACAAGUCAGUGGUGAAAACCUGCAGCUUAACUGUAGAACUGCCAUUGAUACUGUUAUUCUUGAGUACAUUUGAUGUGAGUGGAAUGUGUCGUGUAGCGGUGAAAUGCUUAGAUAUGACACAGAACACCAAUUGCGAAGGCAGCCUCACAAAACUGUAACUGACACUGAGGCACGAAAGCGUGGGGAUCAAACAGG